rnacentral:misc_RNA from 1 species
GUAUAAUACUACCCGGUAUCGCGACGAGUCAAGGCAAUUAAGAGGAAACUGAGAGACAAGUAGGACCAAAGUACUGUCAAGAGUCAAUGUUUUGUUUCUUUACCAAUAAUAUACUGUAAUCUACAAUACUACAGCUGAUAUGGAUGACGUUAUGCUGAGGAGAUAUAGCAAACAACCCGUCUUAAUGAAGCAUGUUAGCGUAGCAUUUGGAGUCCUGCUGAUCCUAUUAUCCUUGGACAUUGUCAGAAGUAACGUGAUUGAACUGGAUGACAGGUUUAUUGAAGCAAAAGAGCAUGGAAAGUGGCUUGUUGAGUUUUAUGCACCUUGGUGUGGUCACUGUCAGAAAUUGAAGCCAGUAUGGGCAAACGUUGGACUUAUGAUGAUGAAGAGUCAUCCUAAUCUUCAUGUAGCUAGACUAGAUGGGACACGUUAUGGAAAGGCGAUGGACAUGUUUGAUGUGAGGGGCUUUCCAACUAUCAAAUACAUUGAAGGAGAUAAAGUUUUUACACAUACCGGUGGAAGGACCUCUCAAGAUAUCAUUGAUUUUGCAGUAAAAGCACAAGGACCUGCAGUGAAACAACUCACAAGUUCCAAUACUUUACAACAGUAUAGAAAAAGCAAACUUGUAUUCUUUGUUAUAGUUGCUGAAGAUACCUCUAGUGAAUUAGCAACGUUAUUCUCAAAGGUUGCUGAUAAGCGUAUUCUAGAUGCCUUUUAUUACCAUGUGAAACCUGAUGUCAUACCGGAGGGGGCGAGGCCAGAGAAUGUACCAGCCAUCAUGGUGUUUAAAGAUGAUCAUCAUUAUCAAUAUGAAGCACCUGAAGGAAGUCUUUCAGAAGAACACCUAUCAGAAUGGAUCGGAGCAGAAAGGUUUCCGGCAUUCUUGAGGAUUGGCAAUGAUAAUAUCAAUGACAUAGGCAGAACGGAAAAGCUUAUUGCAGUUGGUCUUGUUUAUCCAAGUGCUACAAACGUAAAGGAUCAUCCCCAUAAUCUAAUGUUAGAACUCAUCAAGAAAGUGGCAAUUGAUCACAGAGAAACAUUCUACAAGAAAGUCCAGUUUGGAUACAUGGAGGACAGCAAUAUGCUGAGUGACAUCAUUCUAAGGUCAGUAGAAGUACCGGGUAUCUUUGUAAUUGACCCAGUCACAUACCUGUAUUAUGAAUUGGACGAACCUCUUCAGCAGACCGAGGAAUCCUUUGUCAACUUCAUGAACGGUAUCAUCGAUGGCACUGUUCAGGCUAAAGGAGGCAAUAGUUUCUUCAGAAAGAUCUACAGAGUUUUCUAUGAAAUCAUCAAGAGUGUUGUGAUGCUUUGGAAUACAAUGCCCAUCAUUGCUUGCAUAGCCAUCCUAUUCCCUACGGGGCUCAUUGGCUUGGCCUGCUAUGAUUGCUACCGUACUGCCCCACAUCGGAAUAUAAGGAGGAGGCAGAGGGCUAGGCCCCGACACAAGCUGCAUGAUGUCUGAGAGGAAGAAGAGGAGGACGAGUGGAAAGGAUAGAAGGAAGGAUGGAGAGAUGCGGAUGAGACCAAGCCAUGUCAGAUGAUGUGGCUGGCUAAUCCAAUCCUGAUGACCCUUCUACUUGCCCUACCGACCGUGCUCAUCACCUUCAUCUGUUACAGCAUCUGU